rnacentral:misc_RNA from 1 species
GAAAUGCGAUAAGUAAUGUGAAUUGCAGAAUUCAGUGAAUCAUCGAAUCUUUGAACGCACAUUGCGCCCGCCAGUAUUCUGGCGGGCAUGCCUGUUCGAGCGUCAUUACAACCCUCAGGCCCCCGGGCCUGGCGUUGGGGAUCGGCGGAAGCCCCCUGCGGUCACAACGCCGUCCCCCAAAUACAGUGGCGGUCCCGCCGCAGCUUCCAUUGCGUAGUAGCUAACACCUCGCAACUGGAGAGCGGCGCGGCCACGCCGUAAAACACCCAACUUCUGAAUGUUGACCUCGAAUCAGGUAGGAAUACCCGCUGAACUUAAGC